rnacentral:rRNA from 1 species
UACGUAGGGGGCAAGCGUUGUCCGGAAUUAUUGGGCGUAAAGAGCUCGUAGGCGGUUUGUCGCGUCUGCUGUGAAAACUCGAGGCUCAACCUCGGGCUUGCAGUGGGUACGGGCAGACUAGAGUGCGGUAGGGGUGACUGGAAUUCCUGGGUGGUAGCGGUGGAAGUGCGCAGAUAUCAGGAGGAACACCGAUGGCGAAGGCAGGUCUCUGGGCCAUAACUGACGCUGAGAAGCGAAAGCAUGGGGAGCGAACAGG